AUGACCCGAGCCAGAAGCCGGUGGCGGCCCUACUCCACGAGCAGUGCCAGAAGCCAGUGGCGGCGCAUCCCCGGUGCGGCUAGCCCCUGCCGGGACAGCAGGCUUCUUCCCCGGCGGCCCUCCAGCUCCUCGGCCAGUCAUGGCCCCGAGGGGAGGAAUACGCUUAGCGCGGCCAAGACCACAGGAACGGAAGCCGGGCUUCCCUCGCCGAAGAACCCUAGCGCGCCGCGAGAACGAAUGCAUAGUCGAUAUGAUCGACCUGUUGCAUGCGACUGCACAUUCAUUAUCGAUAGAACCCAGACUAGCCUGGGCCUCAUACCCAGCUGUCCCCGGCCCAACGAAUUGCAGAGAAGGUUCAGACAUAACCGGCCCACUACGGCCUAG
rnacentral:rRNA from 1 species